GACAGAGGGGGCAAGCGUUGCUCGGAAUUACUGGGCGUAAAGGGCGCGUAGGCGGGAUGGCAAGUCGGUCGUGAAAUCCCUCGGCUCAACUGAGGAUCGUCGAUUGAUACUGCCGUUCUUGAGGAUUGCAGAGGAGACUGGAAUUCCCGGUGUAGCGGUGAAAUGUGUAGAGAUCGGGAGGAACACCGGUGGCGAAGGCGGGUCUCUGGGCAAUUCCUGACGCUGAGGCGCGAAAGCGUGGGGAGCAAACGGG
rnacentral:rRNA from 1 species